rnacentral:lncRNA from 1 species
AUGGCUCUGGGCUGGAGCAAGGCUUUCCUUAGAGAAGCCAGUCCCCUUCCCCUUGCCCCCGCACUGCUGUCCCCCUGGGCCACGCUGCCCCCACAGCCUCUGCCUGCUGUGUGGAGGCAACGAGGGGCGGCCUGCUGCUGGUGGAGGCCGGGGGAGCGGCUGCUCUGGCUAGGAGUGGGACAAUUAAUGUCCUCCGUCAGGGCGGCAAGUCUCCAGACUUUGAGAAACAUCCCGGGGUUGGGCCGUGCCUGCCUGUUCCUGCAGUGGCUGAAAUACAGCCUUAUCCUGAGGGAAAUGGCGGUGAGAGGCGGCUGCCGGCUGGGAAAGGGGGGAGGCCUUGUGGCUGCGGAGAGCAGGAGCUGCUGCCGGCUGCUGUGGUGCGAAACGAAGAAGCACUUGUGUCCCAACUUCUUCAGGAGCUUAAAAAGACCUUCCUCUUGCUUCAGAGAUAAGAUUUCAGUGUAUGAAGAUCCUACUGGUGAUGCAAUUUUUCUGAUAAAUUCCAUGAGAGCAGGAAUAAUGCCUACUGCUGUGGUCCCUGGGGAGAUGCACAUUGCUUUCGCUCAUCACGUUCAUCCCACCUCCAGGAAUUACAUCCCAGUAUUUGUCAGUGGCAUUUUUCAAAGAGCUAUGGUGCUGUGGUCCGCUAAUUCCUGUCACUUUAAGGUUUGCACUGAACAGUUUGAGAAUGUUUUUUUUUUCAUGUAA